GAUGCUAGGGUCAAAAGGUCAAAAAGCCGUUCAUGCUUGCAUGAUAAGGCUUUUGAACUUGGGACCCGCCAAACAUGAGAAAGUAGCGAUUUACGCAGUAAAUCAGCGGAUUUCGAAUGUUUAUAGAAUUGCGGGAGCUGCUUUGCAGCGGAGCAAUUCGCAGGCAU
rnacentral:sRNA from 1 species